rnacentral:tRNA from 1 species
GGAGAGGUGCCCGGAGUGGCUUAUCGGGGACUCGGGUUAUACCCGGAGUCGGGUCUUCACGGCCCACGCAGGUUCGAAUCCUGCCCUCUCCG